GUUAAGCGACUAAGCGUACACGGUGGAUGCCCUGGCAGUCAGAGGCGAUGAAGGACGUGCUAAUCUGCGAUAAGCGUCGGUAAGGUGAUAUGAACCGUUAUAACCGGCGAUUUCCGAAUGGGGAAACCCAGUGUGUUUCGACACACUAUCAUUAACUGAAUCCAUAGGUUAAUGAGGCGAACCGGGGGAACUGAAACAUCUAAGUACCCCGAGGAAAAGAAAUCAACCGAGAUUCCCCCAGUAGCGGCGAGCGAACGGGGAGGAGCCCAGAGCCUGAAUCAGUGUGUGUGUUAGUGGAAGCGUCUGGAAAGGCGCGCGAUACAGGGUGACAGCCCCGUACACAAAAAUGCACAUAUUGUGAGCUCGAUGAGUAGGGCGGGACACGUGGUAUCCUGUCUGAAUAUGGGGGGACCAUCCUCCAAGGCUAAAUACUCCUGACUGACCGAUAGUGAACCAGUACCGUGAGGGAAAGGCGAAAAGAACCCCGGCGAGGGGAGUGAAAAAGAACCUGAAACCGUGUACGUACAAGCAGUGGGAGCCUCUUUUAUGGGGUGACUGCGUACCUUUUGUAUAAUGGGUCAGCGACUUAUAUUCUGUAGCAAGGUUAACCGAAUAGGGGAGCCGAAGGGAAACCGAGUCUUAACUGGGCGUUAAGUUGCAGGGUAUAGACCCGAAACCCGGUGAUCUAGCCAUGGGCAGGUUGAAGGUUGGGUAACACUAACUGGAGGACCGAACCGACUAAUGUUGAAAAAUUAGCGGAUGACUUGUGGCUGGGGGUGAAAGGCCAAUCAAACCGGGAGAUAGCUGGUUCUCCCCGAAAGCUAUUUAGGUAGCGCCUCGUGAACUCAUCUCCGGGGGUAGAGCACUGUUUCGGCAAGGGGGUCAUCCCGACUUACCAACCCGAUGCAAACUGCGAAUACCGGAGAAUGUUAUCACGGGAGACACACGGCGGGUGCUAACGUCCGUCGUGAAGAGGGAAACAACCCAGACCGCCAGCUAAGGUCCCAAAGUCAUGGUUAAGUGGGAAACGAUGUGGGAAGGCCCAGACAGCCAGGAUGUUGGCUUAGAAGCAGCCAUCAUUUAAAGAAAGCGUAAUAGCUCACUGGUCGAGUCGGCCUGCGCGGAAGAUGUAACGGGGCUAAACCAUGCACCGAAGCUGCGGCAGCGACACUAUGUGUUGUUGGGUAGGGGAGCGU
rnacentral:rRNA from 1 species